UCUUCGGACCUUGGCUAUUGGAUGGCCUAGCGGAUUAGCUUGUUGGUGGGGUAACCGGCCUACCAGGCGACGAUCCGUAGCUGGUCUGAGAGGACGAUCAGCCACACUGGGACUGAGACACGGCCCAGACUCCUACGGAGGCAGCAGUGGGGAAUAUUGGACAAUGGGGGCAACCCUGAUCCAGCAAUGCCGCGUGUGUGAAGAAGGCCUGCGGUUGUAAAGCACUUUCAGUAGAGAAGAAAAGCCCAUGGUUAAUACCCGUGGGUCUUGACGUAACCUACAGAAGAAGCACCGGCUAACUCCGUGCCAGCAGCCGCGGUAAUACGAGGGUGCGAGCGUUAAUCGGAAUUACUGGGCGUAAAGCGCGCGUAGGCGGUUUGGUCAGUCGGAUGUGAAAGCCCCAGGCUCAACCUGGGAAUGGCAUUCGAUACUGCCUGACUAGAGUAUGGUAGAGGGAAGUGGAAUUUCCGGUGUAGCGGUGAAAUGCGUAGAUAUCGGAAGGAACACCAGUGGCGAAGGCGACUUCCUGGGCCAAUACUGACGCUGAGGUGCGAAAGCGUGGGGAGCAAACAGGAUUAGAUACCCUGGUAGUCCACGCCGUAAGCGAUGAGAACUAGAUGUCGGGAGGGUUGCCUUCGGUGUCGCAGCUAACGCGUUAAGUUCUCCGCCUGGGGAGUACGCCGGCAGCGGUAAAACUCAAAGAAUUGACGGGGACCCGCACAAGCGGUGGAGCAUGUGGUUUAAUUCGAUGCAACGCGAAGAACCUUACCAGCCCUUGACAUACUCGGAACUUUCCAGAGAUGGAUUGGUGCCUUCGGGAACGAGAUACAGGUGCUGCAUGGCUGUCGUCAGCUCGUGUCGUGAGAUGUUGGGUUAAGUCCCGCAACGAGCGCAACCCUUGUCCCUAGUUGCCAGCACUUCGGGGGGAACUCUAGGGAGACUGCCGGUGACAAACCGAGGAAGGUGGGGACGACGUCAAGUCAUCUGGCCCUUAUGGGCUGGGCUACACACGGCUACAAUGGUGAAUACAGAGGGU
rnacentral:rRNA from 1 species